GUUUUAGUGUAAGUAUGUACCAUGCAAUAUUUAGGAUAUAUUUAGGCUAGAA
rnacentral:miRNA from 1 species